ACCGACCAUUUCACGAGAAAAGAAAGCUCGAGUUUAUCAUUUUCAUCUCGGUUUUAUUGUACAAAUUUGAGGGAUAAUGGACCAGAAGAAGAAAAAAAGAAAGUUAGGAAGGAGGUGGUGGUGGGAAUAAACUACAAGGGCCAUAACAAUUACAGAAGAAGGUGCCCGUAGCACAAACUCCAUAGCAUUCGUUCUCUUUGUGUCCGAAUUUCUUGCAGUCUUUCUUACAUGUUUUGUCACAGUUUGCAGGCCCACAGUUUUGCACCACAAAAUUCUCCGUCAAGCAUGUUUCCGGUGGCGGUGGUGAUGGUGGCCCUCCCGCCGCCUCCACUACCAUCACAUCAGACACUGCAUAUAUCUCACAAACGAUAUCAUAUUUAGUAUCAAACUAUUCAAAUGGGAUCUGCAUGCAAUAACAAUAAGGAUGACAAUUCCAUACCAUUGAUGAGAAGGAGAGAAGCCAAUACUACCAAACCAAUAGCUACUAGUCUUAUAGUUCUUGCCAUCCUCAAUUAUCUGAUGAAUUAGACUGUAUAACUUGCCGUGAUCAC
rnacentral:lncRNA from 1 species